GCAGAAGUAGCUAAGUUGGGAAAGCAUUAGACUGAAGAUCGAAAGAUGCCUCGUUCAAUCCUGGGCUUUGGCA
rnacentral:tRNA from 1 species